rnacentral:rRNA from 1 species
CCUACGGGAGGCAGCAGUGAGGAAUAUUGGUCAAUGGCCGUAAGGCUGAACCAGCCAAGUCGCGUGAAGGAAGAAGGAUCUAUGGUUUGUAAACUUCUUUUAUAUGGGAAUAAAAUGUUCCACGUGUGGGAGUUUGUAUGUACCAUAUGAAUAAGGAUCGGCUAACUCCGUGCCAGCAGCCGCGGUAAUACGGAGGAUCCGAGCGUUAUCCGGAUUUAUUGGGUUUAAAGGGAACGUAGGUGGAUUGUUAAGUCAGUUGUGAAAGUUUGCGGCUCAACCGUAAAAUUGCAGUUGAAACUGGCAGUCGUGAGUACAGUAGAGGUGGGCGGAAUUCGUGGUGUAGCGGUGAAAUGCUUAGAUAUCACGAAGAACUCCGAUUGCGAAGGCAGCUCACUGGACUGCAACUGACACUGAGGCUCGAAAGUGUGGGUAUCAAACAGGAUUAGAUACCCCGGUAGUC